UCUCCUUCCCCUAAACCUAAAACUCACCCUUUCCUUCCUCCAAAAUCAAAACCCAAAACUCAGAUUCUCCCACCGUUGCCGCCGCCACCACAGAUUGCUACCACCACGAAUUGCCGCCCUCUAAGUCUCUCGCAACUUUCAAUGUCAGAUGAGUAAAAAUUUGAAGUUAGAGUUCCAAAUUUCAUCAAAGUAAAGAUUCUAAUUUGUUUAUAAAUUUUCCAAGAUCAAGUUUGCUAUCAAAUUCGAUGUUGGCUUCGUUGAACCUAGGGAAUCCGUUUGUUUGCUGAGAAAUAAGAAAAGGUGAAAGUGAAUAGCAAAGUUUGGUCAGGCUCCCAAGGAUCAACUUCAAACCCAAUGGAUGUUUUUUAUAAAGGUGUUGAAAUAGAGACUUUGACAGGUUGAUAGGAGGGCAAAAUCGAAGACAUCUACAAUCCCACUUACAAAAGAAGGCAAAUACACCCUCAGGAACAAUCUUCUACUGAACUUAUACCUCUCAUCAUGUACCGCAGAUUUACUAAGUUAGCGACUAGUUAGAAGAAAUUUUCAAAACUAAGGAGGGCCAUGGCCCCCCGGGACCCUGCCAGUUUCAACAAUGCUUUGAUUGCAAAAUUGGGAAGGAAUGUUCCGACAAAAACUUUUUCUCAAUCCCAAAAGCGAAUUCUUGCUUCUGCCUGUGGAAAAAACAUCUGUAACAGUAAAAGUAUCGUGGAGAUUUCUCAUACACGACGAAUAAGAAUACAAUGGCCCAUCAGUUAGCACAGCACGCCAAGAAUGUAAACCAUGGAAUUGUUUAGAUAGAGGAUGAACUUGAGUUUAUG